rnacentral:rRNA from 1 species
UGGGGAAUUUUGGACAAUGGGGGAAACCCUGAUCCAGCCAUCCUGCGUGUUCGAUGAAGGCCUUCGGGUUGUAAAGCACUUUUGGCAGGAAAGAAACGUCAUGGGUUAAUACCCCGUGAAACUGACGGUACCUGCAGAAUAAGCACCGGCUAACUACGUGCCAGCAGCCGCGGUAAUACGUAGGGUGCAAGCGUUAAUCGGAAUUACUGGGCGUAAAGCGUGCGCAGGCGGUUCGGAAAGAAAGAUGUGAAAUCCCAGAGCUCAACUUUGGAACUGCAUUUUUAACUACCGGGCUAGAGUGUGUCAGAGGGAGGUGGAAUUCCGCGUGUAGCAGUGAAAUGCGUAGAUAUGCGGAGGAACACCGAUGGCGAAGGCAGCCUCCUGGGAUAACACUGACGCUCAUGCACGAAAGCGUGGGGAGCAAACAGG